rnacentral:rRNA from 1 species
UACGAAGGGGGCUAGCGUUGCUCGGAAUCACUGGGCGUAAAGGGUGCGUAGGUGGCGCCGUAAGUCGGGUGUGAAAUUUCGGAGCUUAACUCCGAAACUGCAUUCGAUACUGCGGUGCUUGAGGACUGGAGAGGAGACUGGAAUUCAUGGUGUAGCAGUGAAAUGCGUAGAGAUCAUGAGGAAGACCAGUGGCGAAGGCGGGUCUCUGGACAGUUCCUGACACUGAGGCACGAAGGCCAGGGGAGCAAACGGG